AAUUCCUUUAAUUAAGUUCUGUGAAACUUCAAGGAGUUGCUCAAUUGUUUAUUAUUCACGUUUAAGACUGAUAAAUAAGUGAAGGACUUCGUAUGUUUUACGGAGUCCUUUUUUAU
rfam:Lactobacillus floricola DSM 23037 = JCM 16512 strain DSM 23037 NODE_63, whole genome shotgun sequence.